ACUGGAAUUACUAAAUAAUAUGGUAAUUCUAUUAUUAAUUUUUUGAAGAACUGUCAUGAUCUUUUUCAAAAUAGCUGUACCAGUUUAAAUUCCACCAACAGU
rnacentral:pre_miRNA from 1 species